GAUGAAGAACGCAGCGAAAUGCGAUACGUAAUGUGAAUUGCAGAUCUCUCAGUGAACCAUCGAAUUUUUGAACGCACAUAGCGCCCGCCGGUCAUUCCGGCGGGCAUGCCUGUCCGAGCGUCGAUGACGCCGCUCGAGCCCCCGUGCUCGGUGUUGGGGCGCUAGGUCUCCCAGAGGCCUAGGCCCCCAAGUAGCAGUGCGCGGUCCGGCUGCGGGCCCCGGGUACAGUAACUUCACUGUUGAGAUGCCCUGGGAGCCGCUGGCUGGGUCGGCCGUAAAACCCCCGACAUAGGCCUUCCUGUCCGCCCCCGGCGGGGAGGGAGACCGCCUAAUGUUGACCUCGGAUCAGGUAGGACUACCCGCUGAACUUAAGCAUAUCAAUAAGCGGAGGA
rnacentral:misc_RNA from 1 species